rnacentral:rRNA from 1 species
ACAAGCGGUGGAGCAUUGUGGUUUAAUUCGAAGCAACCGAGAACGUAACCUUACCGAGGUUCUGUACAUCCGAUGCUAUUUCUAGAGAUAGAAAGUUACUUGGUCAUCGGUGACAGGUGGUGCAUGGUUGUCGUCAGCUCGUGUCGUGAGAUGUUGGGUUAAGUCCCGCAACGAGCGCAACCCCUAUUGUUAGUUGCCAUCAUUCAGUUGGGCACUCUAGCGAGACUACCGGUAAUAAACCGGAGGAAGGUGGGAUGACGUCAAAUCAUCAUGCCCCUUAUGACCUGGGCUACACACGUGCUACAAUGGUUGGUACAACGAGUUGCGAGUCGGUGACGGCGAGCUAAUCUCUUAAAGCCAAUCUCAGUUCGGAUUGUAGGCUGCAACUCGCCUACAUGAAGUCGGAAUCGCUAGUAAUCGCGGAUCAGCACGCCGCGGUGAAUACGUUCCCGGGCCUU